UACGUAGGGAGCAAGCGUUGUCCGGAAUCAUUGGGCGUAAAGCGCGCGUAGGUGGCCCCGUAAGUCCGCUGUGAAAGUCAAAGGCUCAACCUUUGAAAGCCGGUGGAUACUGUGGGACUAGAGUACGGAAGAGGCGAGUGGAAUUCCUGGUGUAGCGGUGGAAUGCGCAGAUAUCUGGAGGAACACCGGUGGCGAAGGCGGCAUCCUGGACCGGCAUUGACGCUGAGGCGCGAAAGCCAGGGGAGCAAACGGG
rnacentral:rRNA from 1 species